UGGUAGGUGACGUACCUGUCAACAACAAGACGCCAGCGGUGACUUCGUCAAUCUCUCAAGAUCUGCCGGCUCAGUCUUUCGAAAGUGAUCAUGAGAGUAGGGUGUGCGUGUGUGCGUUCACGGUAUCCAGGGUGUUACUGUAUUCAUAAAAGAUGGCACGUCCAUGUUCUUGCCGAGAUCUCCCUGCUGCCUCUGCAUACUGCUGCUACUCCUUGUUGUUUCACUGGAUGCCUACGGAGCGAGAGUGAGAGAGAGGGAGAGAGGGGGGGAAGGGGAGCGGCACAGAUUCCGACAAGUAGCAUGUACACACGGUCAAAGAAACGAACUGCUCAAAUUAAUAUACUACUUACUAAUAUUCCUUGGACUUGGCUUGGGCGCAUGCAUGCAGAGAUCAGUCACAUCCACAUUGACGAACCCUCCUAGGCUAGGCUAUGCUACCUGCUGCUGUAUCCAUGAUUUUGGGGGAGAUCGAUCGACGGCCAAAGGCUUCAAACUCAACCUUUAUAAGGCUCGCGAGUGAACCUGACCCUACGUCUUCUCCAGUCCUUUCUGCUCCACCUGCAGCCAAACAUAUUCGAUCGGGGGCUUCCGCGAUUCCCAAGCCACAGGAAACAAAUUGAUCAUGGAUUUAGAAGUUUCACAAAUAGAUACAUAGAAAAAAAAAUAUGUCCCUGGCAAUUUAAAAGAAAGAAAGAAAUUCAUACUUCCUUCGUCCAACAAA
rnacentral:lncRNA from 1 species